CCUACGGGAGGCAGCAGUAGGGAAUUUUCGGCAAUGGGGGGAACCCUGACCGAGCAACGCCGCAUGAACGAAGAAGUUAUUCGUAAUGUAAAGUUCUUUUAACAGGGAAGAAAGAGAACUUUGACGGUAACUGAAGAAUAAGCUCCGGCUAACUACGUGCCAGCAGCCGCGGUAAUACGUAGGGAGCGAGCGUUAUCCGGAAUUAUUGGGCGUAAAGGGUGCGUAGAUGUCAAAGUAAGUAUUUUGUAAAAAUGUUGGGCUAAACCCAGUAAGGCAAAAGAUACUGCAAAGCUAGAGUAUGACAGAGGCAAGUGGAACUACAUGUGUAGCGGUAAAAUGCGUAAAUAUAUGUAAGAACACCAGUGGCGAAGGCGACUUACUGGGUUGAUACUGACAUUGAGGCACGAAAGCGUGGGGAGCAAACAGGAUUAGAUACCCGUGUAGUC
rnacentral:rRNA from 1 species